rnacentral:rRNA from 1 species
UACGUAGGGUGCAAGCGUUGUCCGGAAUUAUUGGGCGUAAAGAGCUUGUAGGCGGUUUGUCGCGUCUGCUGUGAAAUUUCGGGGCUCAACCCCGAACUUGCAGUGGGUACGGGCAGACUAGAGUGUGGUAGGGGAGACUGGAAUUCCUGGUGUAGCGGUGAAAUGCGUAGAUAUCGAGAGGAACACCUGCGGCGAAGGCGGGUAGCUGGGCCGACACUGACGCUGAGGCGCGAAAGCCAGGGGAGCGAACGGG